UACGUAGGGUCCGAGCGUUGUCCGGAGUUACUGGGCGUAAAGCGCGCGCAGGCGGCGGUGCUGGCCCGGCGUGAAAGCCCCCGGCUCAACCGGGGAGGGUCGUCGGGGACCGCACCGCUUGAGGGCGGUAGGGGCUGGUGGAAUGCCUGGUGUAGUGGUGAAAUGCGUAGAGAUCGGGAGGAACACCUGUGGCGAAGGCGGCCGUCUGGGCCGACCCUGACGCUGAGGCGCGAAGGCGUGGGGAGCGAACGGG
rnacentral:rRNA from 1 species